rnacentral:RNase_P_RNA from 1 species
CGGGCUGGCCGGGCGACCGCGUGACCUCCGCCGCGAGGCGACAGGUCCCGAGGAAAGUCCGGGCUCCACAGAGCAGGGUGGUGGGUAACACCCACCCGGGGUGACCCGCGGGAAAGUGCCACAGAGAACAGACCGCCGCCGCUCCUCGGAGCGGAGGCAAGGGUGAAACGGUGGGGCAAGAGCCCACCAGUGUGCCGGGUGACCGGCGCAGCUAGGCAAACCCCACCCGGAGCAAGACCAGACAGCGCACGAUCGGCUCCGGCCGGGAGGGCUGCUCGCCCGAGUGCGCGGGUAGGUCGCUGGAGGCUGUCGGCAACGGCAGUCCUAGAUGGAUGGUCGCCAACUACAGAACCCGGCUUACAGGCCAGCCCGUCCC